rnacentral:lncRNA from 1 species
CUUCGACGUCCAUUCCUAAAAAAUAAAAAAAUAAAAAUUAGUAAUGGGGUGAAAAAGGAAGAAGUGACACAAAAAAAAAAAAGAAGGAAAGAAGGGGGAAGAGAAAGCAAGAAAAAGAAGAAGGACGGAAGAAAAGAAGAGAAAAGAAAAGAUGAAGUACUCGCAGGAUCCUGGGGGCUCAAGCCGAUGUUGAACAAGAAUUACUCCCUCAGAAGGUUGGAAAGGAAAGGAGCGGAAUAGUCAAGAAGCUUUCGGGCGGCCUGAAGGUCAUCCUCCCCCAGACUGGGAGCCCGACGGAUAGAGUC